rnacentral:tRNA from 1 species
GUCCCCAUAGUUGAAUGGAUACAACGGAGGAUUCCUAAUCCUCAGGUCCUGGUUCGAUUCCAGGUGGGGACG